rnacentral:rRNA from 1 species
GCCUACGGGGCGCAGCAGUGGGGAAUAUUGCUCAAUGGGGGAAACCCUGAAGCAGCAACGCCGCGUGGAGGAUGAAGGUUUUCGGAUUGUAAACUCCUUUUGUUAGAGAAGAUAAUGACGGUAUCUAACGAAUAAGCACCGGCUAACUCCGUGCCAGCAGCCGCGGUAAUACGGUGGGUGCAAGCGUUACUCGGAAUCACUGGGCGUAAAGAGCGCGUAGGCGGGAUAGCAAGUCAGAUGUGAAAUCCUAUGGCUUAACCAUAGAACUGCAUUUGAAACUGUUAUUCUAGAGUAUGGGAGAGGUA